rnacentral:lncRNA from 1 species
AAUAAAGAUGAACUAAAAUAAAGAUGAUUAAUGUAAAUUUAUCACAUUAAAAUCAAGAAGAAACAUAGUACUUAGUGUGCAAGUUCUCAAUGUUUUGGUAUUAUCAUUGAAACAAUUUUUUAAUUUUAUGAGUCUCUAGAACAGGGCCAUAUACUAAUGUGUAUUUCAUUAAAUAUAGCUUAAUUAAAUACAUUUUUGCGUGUAAGAUUGUAUAAACCAAAUAUAACAUUGCUUUCACCUUAGGACCAACAGUGACACAUCCAAAAUAUUUACAAAUUCAACUCCAAGAGCCUGGAAGAAAGAUGCAGCCCUUCACAGACAUUCUCAAGAAGCAAGUUGCGAGGCUAACACAGCAUCAUGGCUGGCAUGAGAAGAUGCUCAAUGUGUUUACUGGAGUGAAUUUAAGGGUGUAAGCAUGAGUUGACGUUUCUUAUCGUGGUAAGUUUUUACUGUCUACUUUGAAGUACAACACACAGAGAAGUGCACAAAAUACUAAUGUGCAG